UGGGGGGGGAAGAAAAGACUUCAGGGGCUUUCCAGCUGUUGAAAACAGAUGGCUGUAAACAAAAGACUUAAGAGCUAAUACUUAUAUUUCCAAAAGCCUUUGCUUUGUUCAGGUCACAGCUCUGCUGCUGCAGUGGGGGGAGAGAUUGCAAAGUACAGCUCGUUCCCAGUCAGUGCUAAUCUUGGAGAUGAAGAGCACCUUUGUCUGAAGAGUGCCACCAGUGCUGUUUGGGGCUGGCACUCUUUGGAGGAGGAGGAGGAGGCGUCAGCUUAGCAAACAUGGACUGGGAGGCUAUUCUGAGAAUAGCAGGCAGCCUCAAAAGCGGAUCUGCAGUGAGAAGCAGGCAGAAGAGAUGACUGAUGAGCAGAGGGGAGAGGCAGGUGGCACUUCAGGGAGCUAUUCAGGGUGACCCACUGAGGUAUUUGUGUGCACAGGAAGACAGAAGUUUGCAUUAAGUGUGCAUUUAGCUUGUAAGCUGCCUGACCACCUCACCCUGUGAAACCAAUGUAUACCUUUGUUGCUGAGUCUCUGUGCUCACUGCAAGCGUUUCGUGAUGUGUUUUAAGCUGAGGAGUCAUCCCGGCCCACCAGCUGCAAAAUGCCUGGCCGAGGCACUGAUGUCCUGUAGCAGCUGCAUUAGUCAAAGCAAAGGGCACUGAGGACUCCAUACAUCAAGAUGCCAAUGUGCCUUGGCUGGUUGCUGUGGAUGUUAUCUCUGUCUCAUUGUACGUGCUUGUCCUCGCUCCCUGAAAUUUUGCAGAAGGUUCUUGAAUAAUAUAUAUUGCAUUUAGCAGGCAUCCAGUGCUGAAAAACAAGAGGGCUGACACUGCUAAUUCAGCUAGCUGGGCAGUUAUUAAAACGAAAAUGCAGGUUGAGACAUCUGUGUUGUCUUUUUGUUUCCCUCUCACUGGGACUGG
rnacentral:lncRNA from 1 species